CCUACGGGAGGCAGCAGUGAGGAAUAUUGGUCAAUGGACGAGAGUCUGAACCAGCCAAGUAGCGUGAAGGAUGACUGCCCUAUGGGUUGUAAACUUCUUUUAUAUGGGAAUAAAACGUUCCACGUGUGGGAUUUUGUAUGUACCUUAUGAAUAAGGAUCGGCUAACUCCGUGCCAGCAGCCGCGGUAAUACGGAGGAUCCGAGCGUUAUCCGGAUUUAUUGGGUUUAAGGGGAGCGUAGGUGGAUUGUUAAGUCAGUUGUGAAAGUUUGCGGCUCAACCGUAAAAUUGCAGUUGAAACUGGCAGUCUUGAGUACAGUAGAGGUGGGCGGAAUUCGUGGUGUAGCGGUGAAAUGCUUAGAUAUCACGAAGAACUCCGAUUGCGAAGGCAGUUCACUGGACUGCAACUGACACUGAGGCUCGAAAGUGUGGGUAUCAAACAGGAUUAGAUACCCCUGUAGUC
rnacentral:rRNA from 1 species